AUCACUACAUCGUGCAUGAUUUUCCUCUUUCCUUUUCAGACUAUAACAAUUUUUUUUUUCUUUCAGCUUGCAAGCAAGUGUGCCCUGAGCCAAAAUGUCCUCCUCCACAAGUGUGUGUACCAGUGCCUGUGUGCCCUGAACCGAAAUGUCCUCCUCCUCAAGUGCAAUGUAAACCAGUCCCACAAUGUCAGCAACAACACGGAAAGUAAUGCAUGAAAGAUAGAAAUGCCACAAGAUACAUACAUAAUAUGAAGAGAAUCUCUGCAUGGCUUUUAUUUAAGAGCGCUUAAUACAUUCUACUACAUGGAAAUGUAAUGACAAUAAUACAUUAUUAAAGGCUAUGCAAAAAUA